rnacentral:misc_RNA from 1 species
AAGUCGUAACAAGGUUUCCGUAGGUGAACCUGCGGAAGGAUCAUUAGCGUGAGAGUGUCCAUGCGAGAGUGUGGAGCUUGCACCUCUGUCCUGUGCUGCGUGUGACUGUGUUGCUGUUGUUGUGCUGUGCUGCGCUGUUGGCCACCGUGCUGCGGCGCACACGCACACACGCACUUUUGUGACCCUUGUUCAUCACCAUACCACAUCUGAUCAUACCGUGUGCACCCUGUCGCAGGGGUGCACCACACAACCAUCGAAAACUGCCAGCAAUGGAUCACUCGGUUCUC